rnacentral:rRNA from 1 species
AUGGAGUCAUCGCCUUGUGCGGUGCAGCUCCAGCUGCUGCUGGUUCUUCUCGGCGUCGCCGUCGUCUCGGCCUCGGCUGAUGCGGCGUUUCCAAGAGAGGCGUUCCCGACCAGCUCCGGCUACCUGCCCGUCGACCCGUCCACCAACGCCUCGCUCUUCUUCGCCUUCUACGAGGCCAGUGCCCCGCUUGCCACGCCGGCCGAUACGCCGCUGCUCCUCUGGCUCGAGGGCGGCCCCGGCUGCUCCGGCCUGCUCAGCAACUUCCUCCAGCUCGGCCCCUACUCUCUCAGCCGUCGCUCCGGCAACGGCGCCUCGCUCUCGCGUAACCCCUACGCGUGGAACCGCCGCUUCGGGCUGCUCUUCCUCGACAGCCCGCUCGGCACCGGCUUCAGCGCCGUCCCGUCCACCGCAGACAUCCCGCGCAGCCAGCCCGCCAUCGCCGAGCACGUCCUCGCCGCGCUCCAGUCCUUCUUCGACGCCAGCCCGGCCCACUUCCGCGCACGCCCCUUCUUCCUCGCCGGUGAGAGCUACGCUGGCAAGUACGUCCCCGCGGCAGCUUCGCGCAUCCUCGCUGCGUACACGGAGCUGCCGGCGCACAGAAGGAUCGGCCUCCGAGGCGUGGCCAUUGGCAACGGGCUGGUGCACCCGGUCACGCAGGUCGCCACGUACGCCGACACGGCCUACUUCAUGGGGCUCAUCAACGGGCGGCAGCGGCGGGAGCUGGAGGUUACGCAGGCCGAGACGAUGGCGCUAGCGCGGGCGGGGCGGUGGGGUGAGGCGACGGACGCGCGCGCGCGGUUGCUGGCGCGGCUGCAGGCGACCACGGGCCUCGCCACGCUCUUCGACGUGGUCACCCAGGGGUGGCUGGACGCCGACGUGCUGGGCGAGUUCGUGAACCGGCUCGGCGUCAAGGCGGCGCUGGGAGCGCGGGGCGACGUCGCGUGGGAGGCCUGCGCGGCGGCGGUGGUCACCGCGUUGCGGGAGGACGGGAUGAAGAGCGCCAAGCCGGAGGUGGAGGCGCUGCUGCGGCGGGAGGCCGAGGGGAUGCGUGUGCUGCUGUACGAGGGUGUCCGCGACCUGCGCGACGGCGUGGCGUCGGCGGAGGCGUGGCUGGAGGAGGUGGACUGGGACGGGAUGGCCGAGUUCCGAGAAGCCGAGCGCGCCGUGUGGCGGACCACCGACGAUGAGGAGCUCGCCGGGUACGUGCAGAGGCACGGCGCGCUGGCACACGUGGUGGUGUACGGUGCCGGGCACUUCGUGCCGGCGGGCAAUGGCCGCGCGGCGCAGGAGAUGAUUGAGGGUUGGGUGUCCCAGACGGGAGUGUUUGGUGGCGGCAGCACCGGCCACCGUGUACUCGAGACCGGCGGGGGAGUGACUACAAUAGAAAACGCACUUGUGGUACAAAAAUAG